GAUGAACGCUGGCGGCGUGCUUAACACAUGCAAGUCGAACGAUGAAGCCCAGCUUGCUGGGCGGAUUAGUGGCGAACGGGUGAGUAACACGUGAGUAACCUGCCCUUGACUCUGGGAUAAGCCCGGGAAACUGGGUCUAAUACCGGAUAGGAGCGCCUGUCGCAUGACGGGUGCUGGAAAGAUCUUUCGGUCAUGGAUGGACUCGCGGCCUAUCAGCUUGUUGGUGAGGUAACGGCUCACCAAGGCGACGACGGGUAGCCGGCCUGAGAGGGUGACCGGCCACACUGGGGCUGAGACACGGCCCAGACCCCUACGGGAGGCAGCAGUGGGGAAUAUUGCACAAUGGGCGAAAGCCUGAUGCAGCGACGCCGCGUGAGGGAUGACGGCCUUCGGGUUGUAAACCUCUUUCAGCAGGGAAGAAGCGAAAGUGACGGUACCUGCAGAAGAAGCACCGGCUAACUACGUG
rnacentral:rRNA from 1 species